GAUGAACGCUGGCGGCGUGCCUAAUACAUGCAAGUCGAGCGAACGGACGAGAAGCUUGUUUCUCUGAUGUUAGCGGCGGACGGGUGAGUAACACGUGGAUAACCUACCUAUAAGACUGGGAUAACUUCGGGAAACCGUAGCUAAUACCGGAUAAUAUUUUGAACCGCAUGGUUCAAAAGUGAAAGACGGUCUUGCUGUCACUUAUAGAUGGAUCCGCGCUGCAUUAGCUGGUUGGUAAGGUAACGGCUUACCAAGGCAACGAGGCGUAGCCGACCGGAGAGAGUGAUCGGCCGCACGAGAACGGAGCCACGGUCCAUGCGCCUACGGGAGGCAGCAGUAGGGAAUCGUCCGCAAUGGGCGAGAGCCUGGCGGAGCAGCGCCGAGUGAGUGAUGGAGGUCUUCGGAUCGUAAAACUCGGUUAUUAGGGAAGAACAGAUGUGUAAGUAACUGUGCACAUCUUGACGGUACCUAAUCAGAAAGCCACGGCUAACUACGUG
rnacentral:rRNA from 1 species